rnacentral:rRNA from 1 species
GACGAACGCUGGCGGCGUGCUUAACACAUGCAAGUCGAACGAUGAACCCGGAGCUUGCUCCGGCGGAUUAGUGGCGAACGGGUGAGUAACACGUGAGUAACCUGCCCUUGACUCUGGGAUAACUGCGGGAAACUGUAGCUAAUACCGGAUACUUUCACUGGAAGGCAUCUUCUGGUGAAGAAAGAACUUCGGUCAAGGAUGAGCUCGCGGCCUAUCAGCUUGUUGGUGAGGUAACGGCUCACCAAGGCGACGACGGGUAGCCGGCCUGAGAGGGUGACCGGCCACACUGGGACUGAGACACUGCCCAGACUCCUACGGGAGGCAGCAGUGGGGAAUAUUGCACAAUGGGCGCAAGCCUGAUGCAGCAACGCCGCGUGAGGGAUGAAGGCCUUCGGGUUGUAAACCUCUUUUAGCAGGGAAGAAGCGAAAGUGACGGUACCUGCAGAAAAAGCACCGGCUAACUACGUGCCAGCCGCCGCCGUAA